UCUCAUACUCCUAUUGCUGUUAGACGGAUAGCUUGGUUUUGACUGUGAUGAAGGACGUGGCAAGCUGCGAUAAGCUCCGGGGAUCUGCAUGCGAGAAUUGAUCCGGAGAUUUCCGAAUGCGAUGAAACGUGUAUAAUCCGAGAGGAUAAUGUACGCUGGGAAUUGAAACAUCUUAGUACCAGCAGGAAAAGAAAACAAAUAUGUGAUAACCUUAAUAGCAGCGAGCGAAAAGGUUGAAGGGCAAACUGAAUCUCCUUUUGAAAAGAAGGCAGAGAUGUGGUAGGUUGUAUCCUAAGUCAAUAGAUCAAAGUUUCCUGGAACGGAAUGCCUUAGAGAGUGAAAGCCUCGUAGAUUGUCUUGAUAUGGAAAUACCUAAAAGAUUAGUGUCUCCCGAAUUGGAGGCAUGAAUACAGCAGAAUUAACUGCUAACCCUAAAUAUUAGUCAAAGUCCGAUAGUGAACAAGUACUGCGAAGGAAAGCUGAAAAGAACUCAUAAUAGAGAGUUAAAAGAUUUGAAAUCUAACAGUUACAGUUGGUUAGUGCCCUCUAAGGAGGGUUCUAACGUACGUCUUGAAAAACGGCCCAAGGAGUUUAAUUGAGUGGCAAGGUUAACAUUAUGGUAGCCAUAGCGAAAGCAAGUCAGAAAUGGCGAAUUAGUCACUCAUGUAAGACCUGAAGCCAGAUGAUCUAAUCAUGGGCAGGAUGAAGUUUUCCGAAAGGGAAAUGGAGGUCCGAACCUGUGCUACAUGCAUGUGCUUGGAUGACCUGUGAUUAGGGGUGAAAAGCCUAUCGAAUCUGGCAAUGGCUGGUUCCUGUUGAAAUAUGCCUUAGUAUAGCCUCGUUAUUCUUUCUCACGGUGUAAAGUACGGAUAGGUGUUGCAGAGGGUUUUUCCUACGGACAACUUUCCAACUCGGAAAUUGUGAGACGAAAAUAACGGGAAACAGCGACGGCGCGUAAGGUGACGUCGCGAGACCGGAACAAUGGAGACUAUAGUUAAGGUCCUAAAGUUCAUGUUAAGUGUAUCAAAAGGAGUCUUAAACCUGAGACACUGGGGAGGUAGACAUAGAAGCCGUCAUCCUUUAAAGAAAGCGUAACAGCUCACCUAUUGAGGUUUGAGGCCCUGAAAAUGGACAGGACUAAAACAUGACACCGAUACUAUAGACAUACUCUUUUUUAGAGUAUUGUGGUAAACAGGCGUCUUUUCAGCGCAGAAGCAUUUUCGAAAGAAAGUGUGGAGCUGGAAGGAAUGAGAAUCUUGGGAGGAGUAAGAACUGAUCUUGUUGAGAAUCACAAGAGAUCGUAAGGGCAAGGUUUCCUUGGCAAUAACAAUUAACCAAGGGUUAGUCGGACCCUAAGUCAUACCUUAACCGGUUAUGGCGAUGGAAUUCAGGUUAAUAUUCCUGAACUAUCUAUCUUCGUUUAGUGCACGAUUUGUUUUCGGAUAGGCAAGCAUCUGAGAGGAUGCCUGCAUAAGGAAUUCUGGGGAGCGUAAUGCGUUAAUCCAGAAGAACUUGUGUAGUGAAAAUUGUUGAUUCCAAGAAUCAAUGAAAAGAUUGUGCAUAGAAUAUAGAUAUCCGUACCUAGAUUUGGCACUGAUGCCCUAGCUGAGAAGGCUAAGAUCUGAAAGUUUAACAUAGUUAAGGGAACUCGGCAUAAAUGGCCCUUUAGCUUCGGUAUAAGGGGUGUCUACAUUUGUCUUUUUAGAAAUGAAAAGGCAUUGGUAGAUCACAGUCACAAGGAUGGUCCGACUGUUUAUCAAAAACGUAGCCGGUUGCUAAUCUGAAAAGACUUGUAUAACCGGUGAAACCUGCCCAGUGGUGGUGCUUCAAAGCGUGUUUCAACGCGUCUAAGACCCAUCAAACGGCGGGACUAAUUCCUGAGUCUCUUAAGGUAGCGUAAUACCUUGUCGUCUGAAUGGCGACUUGCAUGAAUGGUUUAACGUGAUUGUCACUGUCCCUAACCGGAAUCUUCUGAAAUUAUUGUCCGGUGAACAGACCGGAGACACCUAACGGGAAGCUAAGACCUUGUGGACCUUUACUGCAACAUGUUGUUGUGAGUUUAUGAUUGGUGCAUAGCAUAGGUAGGAGAAUACGCGCAGAUUCGGCGAGGCGG
rnacentral:rRNA from 1 species